AAGUCGUAACAAGGUUUCCGUAGGUGAACCUGCGGAAGGAUCAUUAAUAAACUAGUCGUUCGUGUAGGGGCAACCUGAUCAUCACGAUGUAAGCUCACUAGUCACCCUUGAAUAUCAUACCUUUGUUGCUUUGGCGGGCCGCCCUCGUGGCCAGCGGCUCCGGCUGCUGCGUGCCCGCCAGAGGACCCCAACUCUUGUUUUUAGUGAUGUCUGAGUACUAUAUAAUAGUUAAAACUUUCAACAACGGAUCUCUUGGUUCUG
rnacentral:misc_RNA from 1 species